rnacentral:rRNA from 1 species
AAGGGCGCAUGGUGGAUGCCUUGGCACCAGGAGCCGAUGAAGGACGUGGUAAGCUGCGAAAAGCUGCGGGUAGCCGCAAACAGGCUGUGAUCCGCAGAUGUCCGAAUGGGGGAACCCGCAUGGCUAACGCCAUGCAUCCUUAGCUGAAUCCAU